GACGAACGCUGGCGGCGUGCCUAAUACAUGCAAGUCGAACGCAGUGGGGACGGGUGAGUAACACGUGGGUAACCUCCCAUCAGAGGGGAUAACACUUGGAAACAGGUGCUAAACCGAUACUGAUGGAUGAACCCGCGGUGCAUUAGCUAGUUGGUGAGGUAACGGCUCACCAAGGCCACGAUGCAUAGCCGACCUGGGUGGGGGAACGGGCAAACUGGGACUGGUGAACGGGCCAGACUCCUUCGGGAUGCAGGAGUAGGGAAACUUCGGCAAUGGACGAAAGUCCGACCGAGCAACGCCGCGGGGGUGAUGACGGCUGUCGGGUUGGAAAGCUCCGUUAAUCGGGACGCGGUACCUGAAUAGAAAGCCACGGCUAACUACGUGCCAGCCGCCGCGGUAAUUC
rnacentral:rRNA from 1 species